rnacentral:rRNA from 1 species
UCCAGACUCCUACGGGAGGCAGCAGUGGGGAAUAUUGGACAAUGGGGGGAACCCUGAUCCAGCGACGCCGCGUGAGUGAAGAAGUAUUUCGGUAUGUAAAGCUCUAUCAGCAGGGAAGAAAGAAAUGACGGUACCUGACUAAGAAGCCCCGGCUAACUACGUGCCAGCAGCCGCGGUAAUACGUAGGGGGCAAGCGUUAUCCGGAUUUACUGGGUGUAAAGGGAGCGUAGACGGCGAUGCAAGUCUGGUGUGAAAGCCCGGGGCCCAACCCCGGGACUGCAUUGGAACCUGCCGGGCUGGAGUGCCGGAGGGGCAGGCGGAAUUCCUGGUGUAGCGGUGAAAUGCGCAGAUAUCAGGAAGAACACCGGUGGCGCAGGCGGCUUGCUGGACGGCAACUGACGCUGAGGCUCGAAAGCGUGGGGAGCAAACAGGAUUAGAUACCCGCGUAUG